rnacentral:rRNA from 1 species
GCGAACGCUGGCGGCAGGCUUAACACAUGCAAGUCGAGCGGGCGUAGCAAUACGUCAGCGGCAGACGGGUGAGUAACGCGUGGGAACCUACCCUUAGGUUCGGAACAACCGCGGGAAACUGCGGCUGAUACCGGAUGAUGUCUUCGGACCAAAGAUUUAUCGCCUUUGGAGGGGCCCGCGUCGGAUUAGGUAGUUGGUGAGGUAACGGCUCACCAAGCCUGCGAUCCGUAGCUGGUCUGAGAGGAUGACCAGCCACACUGGGACUGAGACACGGCCCAGACUCCUACGGGAGGCAGCAGUGGGGAGUAUUGGACAAUGGGGGCAACCCUGAUCCAGCAAUGCCGCGUGGGUGAUGAAGGCCUUCGGGUUGUAAAGCCCUUUCGGCGGGGACGAUGAUGACGGUACCCGCAGAAGAAGCCCCGGCUAACUUCGU